rnacentral:rRNA from 1 species
GUGACCCCAGGUCAGGCGGGACUACCCGCUGAGUUUAAGCAUAUCAAUAAG